rnacentral:rRNA from 1 species
UACGUAGGGUGCGAGCGUUAAUCGGAAUUACUGGGCGUAAAGCGUGCGCAGGCGGUUUUGUAAGCCAGAUGUGAAAGCCCCGGGCUUAACCUGGGAAUGGCAUUUGGGACUGCAAGGCUUGAGUGCGGCAGAGGGGACUGGAAUUCCUGGUGUAGCAGUGAAAUGCGUAGAUAUCAGGAGGAAUACCGAUGGCGAAGGCAGGUCUCUGGGCUGACACUGACGCUCAUGCACGAAAGCGUGGGGAGCAAACAGG